ensembl:lncRNA
GUUACUUUCAAAAACAAGAAAACAGAAAAGACCUUGAGAACUUUUUUGCCCCAAUUCCAAGUGACAAAAUGAAAGUCAAUUUAAAAUGAGAUGAGAUAGUUUUUUAAAAGGACUGUGGGCAAUUUUAGGAAUGUUAAAAAUGUAGCCAGUGUGCUAGAAUACCCCUUCAAGGUAUUUUUAAAGGGUGAUUUGCAGAAUUAAACCCAUUACCCAACAACAAUGGAAAUCUUUCUUAAUUUCCUAGACCAAACAAUUUUUUGUUUCCUUUCUGUCUUUUGCAGGUUGAACCCUUAAAGGAACACUCAGAAGUAUAAUAAGCUGGAGUUGCAUAAAUGAGUUCUCUGAUUAUGGUAAAGAUUCUGAAAAGGUGUGAAGCUGAAAGCCGCAGGCGAGACUCUACCUAGGAAAACGUCGGGCGACUUCGAGUAGGGUACAGCGCAGGACGAAGUGUGUGUCCAACGUGGACUAAAAUGUGGGAAGAGAUUCCUUUAUUAAAAAGCAGUCUACCUUCCUGGAAACAAUCCAUCACACUCCCUACGGAAGAGGAUCACACGCCCUGCGACUUCUCAACCUCUACGUGCUGAGAGACAGUCCAGGUUAAGGAACCUCUCAGGACUGCAGUCUGAAUGAGCAGAACCGAUGGCAAACGUUUCCAGCAUUCAGUGUUCAUCUAGCUCUCAAUGCAGGGAAUCUAAGCAUGUUACAUCAAGACAUAGAUAUGCAAAUUGAAGAGUAAUAUGAAUUGUUUAUAUUACAAAAUGUUCUUCAGCUGCCAUGCGCAAGUGCUACAGACCCUGCGCUCUUUGUAAGCCCCUCUGGAAUAAUGAAUGGGGACAACGAGAAACAAGCAGAGGGAUGCUCCGGUAUUGCCGGGGAGACUGGCUGCUAAGGGAAAGAAGGCUUUGAUGCUGAAUUCAGUUGUCUUUUCUCCUUCCUAAGUGCUUCCCCUGCUCGCAUCCUCCCUGCACCGUGGAGCAGCGUCUGUCUGAUGUUGGCAGCAGCACAAGGACAAAUCAAGACACUCAGAAGCAAAUGCUUUUGUUUUGCAGACAUAGGACCAGAGAUGCGGGGAAGUGUUACCCUGGGGCCUGAACAGCAUCAGGCGUGACAGCAGAUGUUUAGUGCCAUGGGUUGCACGGUGCUGCUGUUGAGUACCAGAUACUGAGGCGAUCUGCCUGAGACUUUUAAUAAAUAGUGUGUGUGUGCUGUCUAUUCAGAACCACUAAAGGGAGGAGUCCAGGGCAAGGGUCCCUCUUGCCCAAAUCUAAAGGCUCCAUUAGACAACCAACCAAGCACUCAAGCAGGAAGAUGAAGACUGCUGGCACCACAUGGCAGAUCAGAGACACGACAGGGAGCGGCAGAGAGGUGGUGACCUGGGGAGCCCACGCCUGUCUGAAGAGAACUGUCUAUAUUCUGCCCUUACCCAUAUACUGACUUGUAGGAAAGUCGAAGUCACGUUGCUGGACUGUCUGAUUUCUCAGGAGAAUGCCACAUUUCGGGUUUUUAUGUGAAAAAAAUUGAUAUCGACAAAUAAUCCAAAUUAAUAAACUUAAAAAGUACAUUUGAGGGGAUCACAUCUUUAGGCUAGAUUUGUUCCCAAAGCCACCACGAACACUUUUCUGGUCUACUGCAUUUUACUACUUUGUGCUUACUUUUGAAGCAUUUAUGAUCGCUAAUUCCUCAUUUUGGAUAAAUACUAAAGCAAUGACAGGGUGAGAAUCAUGGAAGAAGAAGAGGCAUAUGAUUAGGUUAGAAAAGAAAGUGCAGGUUAGGUUUACACCGAUGUGUACGCAAGGGUUACACAUAUUCUGUCACUUUGUCUUUGCAGGAUGUAGACUCAGCGACAUCCUGUUUGUAAGCAGAGAAGCCUCCACACGUGGACAUGCGAGGCUGUCUUUGGCUCUGCUGCUCAGUUCAGAUAAUUUUCGAGAGAUCUCCAUUGUACUUCAACUUAUUUUUCAGUAAUAGGAGAGUGAGUGGUGAAAAAUGUGAGAUUAGAUUGUGAAAGAAUGAAGUUAGAGAUCCCAGGGGAGUAUCUCUAGAGAUGUGAAGAUUCGGGACGUGGGGUUACCUCCUGUGCUUCUCAAAGGGCAAGCAGAAGAUAUCUGGCACGGGAAUGGGGAGGGAGCAAGAACAGGGGAGGAUAGCAAGUAUGUUUCAGGCAUUUCGGAGCCCAAGCAAGAUGCCCAGUGGAGUGGUUAAGAGGUCAGACCGUCCCAAGUUCAAGACCCAGGACUAAAUUUACAAGCUGCAAAAAGUUGCUUUUCCCUCUGAGCUUGUUUCAUCAUUUGUUAAGAAGGUGAUAAUGAUGAUUUACCUCAAAGGGCUGCUGUGAGCAGUAAAUGAGCUAAUCAAAGCCAAGGUCUAGUACACAUUCCUCAGGAAGUACUCAAUAAAUGCCGGUGAUUAUUAGUAGGACAAUGAUUGGGAUUAGUGGGGCGAAUUCGGGAAUCAUCUGCAGAAAGGUGGACAGUUGAAAUCUGAAGAGAGCACCUUGGAAGGGGGGCAUAUAUAUUGGGGAGCACAUCUAUUUGAGGGAGUAAGGAAAAAAAAUGGAAGCCUGAAAGGGGUCAGAGAAGGAACAGUCAGGUAGGAGAAAUGCCAAGACAGGGUUUAGGGAAGGCCCCUGUAUGAAAAUAAAAUAGAGACUUUAUUUUCAGAAUAGUGCUGAGCAUGAAAAUGAUUUAGAAUGGUGCCUUAUAAACUUUAGAGUACCAAAGAAUCACCUGGGAGAGUGUAAAUGUUUAAAAUGUAGAUUCCCAGAAAGCCUGACUCAGUAGGUCUGGGCUCAGGCCCAGGAAUCUAUAUGGAUUCCAACUGCAGAUAGACAACAAACCACACUUGGAAGAACACUGUGUUAAGACUGAGCGUGCAGCCAGGGAGAGGAGACAGAGUGGCUACCAUCCUUUCAAGGUAGUUGGUUAGGGCAUACAUGUGUCUUAGCCUCCACUACCCAUGCAUUAAAGAAAGUCUUUCCAGAGAAAAGCCUUUGAGAGAACACAGGUUGCUUUCAAUAGGUUGCUUGGUGAGUAAAGGGAGGGGUGGUGGUUGGUGGUGUUUAUUUCUCCUGCAUAUAUAUAAUGGCCAAGGGGUCUUAACCAUCUGUGGCCCUGGGUUUGGAAGGGUGAAUUAAAUUGGUUGAUUUUCAAGUAUCAAACCAACCUUGCAUUCCUGGAAUAAUCCAACUCGGUCAUGAUGGAUGGUGGGAAAGAGACACAUUGCUCAGACCUCAAUCUCAGGCUCUGGGCUCCCUUUCCUCUCUCUAGCCUUCUAGCAGACACGACCUAUCCAAACAACACAACAGCUCCCUGAGACUUGGAAAUAAACACCAGGUCUUCUAGAACAGUGAACUUCAAAAUACUUUUUACUUAUACCCUCUAAGAUAUUUUUUAAAAAGUAUAUAUACUCCCUUACAUGUUUUAAAGUUGAUAUCUCAAAUGUUUCACAUAUUAACUGCUUAAAAGGAUUCUGGGGCAUUGUAAUUAUUUGUUAUAUCAUUUAAAAAAUAUAUUCAAUAGGGCAGCCUGGUGGCAUAGCGGUUAAGUGUGCACGUUCCACUACGGCAGCCCGGGGUUCACCAGUUUGGAUCCUGGUGUCAGACACGGCACCACUUGGCACACCCUGCUGUGGCAGGUGUCCCACAUAUAAAGUAGAGGAAGAUGGGCAUGGAUGUUAGCUCAGGGCCAGUCUUCCUCAGCAAAAAGAGGAGGAUUGGCAGCAGUUAGCUCAGGGCUAAUCUUCCUCAAAAAAAAAAAAAAAUUUCAAAGUAAUCCAAAUAUCAUGCAUCCUUGAUCUCUACCAUCAUCUAUUUAAAUAAUACAUGAACAAGCUGUUCUUUAAAAGUUGAAAUUUUACAUCAUUAUUUAAGGAGUUUUCCGCUUUAAAUUUGUACUUCCAUUCCACUUCCCCAUUAAAUUUUCUAUUAAUGUAAUAAUUUUUUGGCUUAGAAGUCUUGUAUUGAUCACCCUAUUAAACCUCUUGGCAGAAACAUUUAUAUAUAUUUAAUAAAAAACCUUUUUAACUUCCUUUGAUCAGAAUUGAGUUACUACUAUAAUGAUUAUUUUUAUGUAAUUGAUGAAAACAAGGUGAAUGUAUUACAAAAUCAGAACUAACAGAAGGUUGAUAAUUGUUGAAGCUGGGUCAUGGGUGCAGAAAGGAUCAUGACGAUUCUCACUCCACUCUAUGUUUGAAAUUUUCCAUUAAAAAAAAGUUUAGAAACCUCUUGAAGAAAUAAAUGUGCUAUAAAUUCUGGUUAAAAAUUCCUAAACAAAAAAACAUAAAAUUUUUAUUGGUCAG